AUUGAACGCUGGCGGCAUGCCUUACACAUGCAAGUCGAACGGCAGCGGACCUUCGGGUGCCGGCGAGUGGCGAACGGGUGAGUAAUAUAUCGGAACGUACCUUUCAGUGGGGGAGUAACGUAGCGAAAGUUACGCUAAUACCGCAUAUUCUGUGAGCAGGAAAGCAGGGGAUCGCAAGACCUUGCGCUGAUUGAGCGGCCGAUAUCAGAUUAGCUAGUUGGUGGGGUAAAGGCCCACCAAGGCGACGAUCUGUAGCGGGUCUGAGAGGAUGAUCCGCCACACUGGGACUGGGACACGGCCCAGACUCCUACGGGAGGCAGCAGUGGGGAAUUUUGGACAAUGGGCGCAAGCCUGAUCCAGCCAUGCCGCGUGCGGGACGAAGGCCUCGGUUGUAA
rnacentral:rRNA from 1 species